rnacentral:rRNA from 1 species
AGGACGAACGCUGGCGGCGUGCCUAAUACAUGCAAGUCGAACGGUCUUUCUAUGGAAGCUUGCUUCCACUGAGAAGAUAGUGGCGAACGGGUGAGUAACACGUGGGUAACCCUGCCCAUAAGAGGGGGAUAACAUCCGGAAACGGGUGCUAAUACCGCAUAGUUUUCUUGAUUGCAUGAUUGAGAAAGGAAAGACGGCCUUUGUGCUGUCGCUUAUGGAUGGACCCGCGGCGUAUUAGUUAGUUGGUGAGGUAACGGCCCACCAAGACGAUGAUACGUAGCCGACCUGAGAGGGUGAUCGGCCACAUUGGGACUGAGACACGGCCCAAACUCCUACGGGAGGCAGCAGUAGGGAAUCUUCCGCAAUGGACGAAAGUCUGACGGAGCAACGCCGCGUGAGUGAAGAAAGGUUUUCGGAUCGUAAAACUCUGUUGUCAGAGAAGAACAAGUUGGAGAGUAACUGCUCCAGCCUUGACGGUAUCUGACCAGAAAGCCACGGCUAACUACGUGCCAGCAGCCGC